CCUACGGGAGGCAGCAGUAGGGAAUCUUCCGCAAUGGACGAAAGUCUGACGGAGCAACGCCGCGUGAACGAUGAAGGCCUUCGGGUCGUAAAGUUCUGUUGUUAGGGAAGAACAAGUGUUAGUUGAAUAAGCUGGCACCUUGACGGUACCUAACCAGAAAGCCACGGCUAACUACGUGCCAGCAGCCGCGGUAAUACGUAGGUGGCAAGCGUUGUCCGGAAUUAUUGGGCGUAAAGCGCGCGCAGGCGGUUUCUUAAGUCUGAUGUGAAAGCCCCCGGCCAACCGGGGAGGGUCAUUGGAAACUGGGAAACUUGAGUGCAGAAGAGGAAAGUGGAAUUCCAAGUGUAGCGGUGAAAUGCGUAGAGAUUUGGAGGAACACCAGUGGCGAAGGCGACUUUCUGGUCUGUAACUGACGCUGAGGCGCGAAAGCGUGGGGAGCAAACAGGAUUAGAUACCCUGGUAGUCCACGCUGUAAACGAUGAGUGCUAAGUGUUAGAGGGUUUCCGCCCUUUAGUGCUGAAGUUAACGCAUUAAGCACUCCGCCUGGGGAGUACGGUCGCAAGACGAGAACACAAUAGAGUUAGAGCGUUGAGAGNGCGAGGCGACGACGAGGAGGAGG
rnacentral:rRNA from 1 species